GAUGAACGCUGGCGGCGUGCUUAACACAUGCAAGUCGAACGAAGCACUUUAACCUGUUUCUUCGGAUGAAGGUUUUUGUGACUGAGUGGCGGACGGGUGAGUAACGCGUGGGUAACCUGCCUCAUACAGGGGGAUAACAGUUAGAAAUGACUGCUAAUACCGCAUAAGACCACAGAGCCGCAUGGCUCGGUGGGAAAAACUCCGGUGGUAUGAGCUGGACCCGCGUCUGAUUAGGUAGUUGGUGGGGUAACGGCCUACCAAGCCAACGAUCAGUAGCCGAGCAGAGAGGGUGACCGGACACAUUGAGACUGAGACACGGCACAAACUCCUACGGGAGGCAGCAGUGGGGAAUAUUGCACAAUGGGGGAAACCCUGAUGCAGCGACGCCGCGUGAGCGAUGAAGUAUUGCGGUAUGUAAAGCUCUAUCAGCAGGGAAGAAAAUGACGGUACCUGACGAAGAAGCACCGGCUAAAUACGUG
rnacentral:rRNA from 1 species